UGUUCUCUUCCCUGAGAAUGGGCACCUUGAGUCACUGAGCUGGUGAGGUGAUGAGGUGUCUGAAAUUUCUUACAGGAAAAGUGACCAGGUUCUGAACCUGACAUGAGAGGUGUGCAGCCUUGUGCAGGCAUUGGGGUGGGGGAGCCAUGAGGUAGCAGGUAAAACCCAUCCACAGAUGAAAGCUGCAGGGUGGAGCAGACGGGAGACCCAGGAGGCACGGAGGCAGGAACUUGUAGCCCUUGAUCUUGGCACUGUGUCUUAUAGGGACUGAAAUUUGGCUAAUGGGCUUGAUUUAUAUCCAUCCUUCCCAGACCUGUUAGAGUGACUGCUGCUUCUGCCCUUGAAGUCUUCUCUACCCUGUGGAAAACAGGUAGGUGAUGGGUCUAAAAAUAGUACUCAUGCAGCCAGCCACAGUUGGGCGAGGGAUGGAGACGCGUUUUCCUGCAGUGACUGAAGGAAGGUGGAGGAGGGAGAAGGAACACUGCUUAUUUUGGUUUCAGAAGUUCUUGGCAAGAACUCCCUCUAAUUUUAAAUGAAAAAGACGCCUCCAGCUGGUGGAAAUGCCGGGAGCCCACCUUCCACAGUCAUGUUUUCUGAGCCAUUUUUCAAUACAUAGACCAACUUGUCCCUUGGAAC
rnacentral:lncRNA from 1 species